AUUGAACGCUGGCGGCAUGCCUUACACAUGCAAGUCGAACGGCAGCACGGGAGCAAUCCUGGUGGCGAGUGGCGAACGGGUGAGUAAUAUAUCGGAACGUGCCCAGUAGUGGGGGAUAGCCCGGCGAAAGCCGGAUUAAUACCGCAUGAGACCUGAGGGUGAAAGCGGGGGAUCGCAAGACCUCGCGCUAUUGGAGCGGCCGAUAUCAGAUUAGCUAGUUGGUGGGGUAAAGGCCUACCAAGGUAACGAUCUGUAGUUGGUCUGAGAGGACGACCAGCCACACUGGGACUGAGACACGGCCCAGACUCCUACGGGAGGCAGCAGUGGGGAAUUUUGGACAAUGGGCGCAAGCCUGAUCCAGCAAUGCCGCGUGCAGGAAGAAGGCCUUCGGGUUGUAAACUGCUUUUGUCAGGGAAGAAAUCCCUUGGGAUAAUACCUCGGGGGGAUGACGGUACCUGAAGAAUAAGCACCGGCUAACUACGUGCCAGCCGCCGCGGUAACAC
rnacentral:rRNA from 1 species